rnacentral:rRNA from 1 species
GAUGAACGCUAGCUACAGGCUUAACACAUGCAAGUCGAGGGGCAGCGGGGAUCUAGCUUGCUAGAUUUGCCGGCGACCGGCGCACGGGUGAGUAACACGUAUCCAACCUGGCCCAUACUCGGGUAUAGCCUCUCGAAAGGGAGAUUAAUCCCCGAUGUUGUUGUUUCACCGCAUGGUGUUGCAACCAAAGAAUUUCGGUAUGGGAUGGGGAUGCGUUCCAUUAGCUUGUUGGCGGGGGAACGGCCCACCAAGGCGACGAUGGAUAGGGGUUCUGAGAGGAAGGUCCCCCACACUGGAACUGAGACACGGUCCAGACUCCUACGGGAGGCAGCAGUGAGGAAUAUUGGUCAAUGGGCGAGAGCCUGAACCAGCCAAGUAGCGUGAAGGAUGACUGCCCUACGGGUUGUAAACUUCUUUUGUUUGGGAAUAAAGUUCAGCACGUGUGCUGUUUUGUAUGUACCAUUCGAAUAAGCAUCGGCUAAUUCCGUGCCAGCAGCCGCCGCCGUAA